GUUAGUUCAAAACAUCAUAUUGCCUCACAAAAGCAAAAAUAUAAAAUUUUUUAAAAAUAGCGGUUCUAUAUUUAGAACAUGAACCUGAGGGAAAUUCCAUAAGUUUAACUGAACGUGUUACCCUAAGCUUUUUAUGUAGCCCUUUUUGGUGUGCAUCCUUAUAAUAGUGUUUCCAUCCUAUCGACUGCGUGAGAGAGAGACAGUGAACUGCGGCCUUAUAACAGUGUAAUUGCAACAAUUAAUUUGACAAGAACUUUGUGCUUUUAGUAUAUUCAGGAUUUAUGGAAAGUUUUUGGCAAAACUUGACAUGUGAGGGCUUCGAGGGGGUGUGAAUUUUCCGGCCCUUUAUCAUGCAACAUUUAUCUCGACUUCCAAUAUCAUUGCAACAAAUCUUUAGCAACAUGUGAAGGCGCGGCCGGGGAUGCAUGCGUACUCUUGAUUAUCAUGGUUUGAGGGAUUGAAAAUCAUCAUAUAGCCUAGCAAGUCCAUUUGUGCUCUUAAAUAAUAGAUUUGGAGUCUUGAAAAGGAUCCGAAUCUGUCAAAUUUUCAAGAGUUGAAAUAGAUAGUCCACAC
rnacentral:lncRNA from 1 species